GAUGAAGAACGUAGCGAAAUGCGAUAAGUAAUGUGAAUUGCAGAAUUCAGUGAAUCAUCGAAUCUUUGAACGCACCUUGCACCCUUUGGCAUUCCGAAGGGUAUGCUCGUUUGAGUGUCAUUGUACUCUCACUCUCCCGAUGCUUUUGGAUCGGGAGUGGUGGACUUGGGUGUUGCUGCUUUGCUGUGGCUCGCCCCAAAUGGAGUAGUGCAACUCUUGGUUGGACAUAGUACGGCGUGAUAAGUGUCUUCGCCGGCGCCUCAUUAUAGAGGGUGGCCGAUCGGGAGCUCUGUGCUUCAAACCGUCUUCGGACAACAUCUGACAACUUGACCUCAAAUCGAGUAGGACUACCCGCUGAACUUAAGCAUAUCAAUAAGCGGAGGA
rnacentral:misc_RNA from 1 species